rnacentral:tRNA from 1 species
ACUUAGUGGCCGAGUGGGUAACGCGAUGGCGUUUGAAGCCAAAGGUACAAGGUUCGACUCCCAGAGUGA